AUUUAAUUCUUUCCAAGAUAGCUCUUUGCCACCCAAAAUUGGUUGCCAUAUCAGAUCUUUGUGCCAAGAAACACUAAGAAGAAUCUGGGUGUAUCGGGUGUUUCUUGUUGUGUCCAACAUUGUUACCAACUUCAACCUACAGUAGCCACCUCAUCUGGAAUCCAAAUUUAAUUUUAUAAAUUAUGUUCCUUUUUUGCUUCUCUCAAAAUUUUGUAGGAUCUAAUCUUGCUCAAUUUGGAGUCCUGUAGCUUACCUUUUAGGGGUCCUCACACCAAAAUAUC
rnacentral:lncRNA from 1 species